rnacentral:miRNA from 1 species
AAGCGCAAGGCCCUGGGUG